rnacentral:rRNA from 1 species
GUAGGUGGCAAGCGUUGUCCGGAAUUAUUGGGCGUAAAGCGCGCGCAGGCGGUUCUUUAAGUCUGAUGUGAAACGCCCACGGCUCAACCGUGGAGGGUCAUUGGAAACUGGAGAACUUGAGUACAGAAGAGGAAAGCGGAAUUCCACGUGUAGCGGUGAAAUGCGUAGAGAUGUGGAGGAACACCAGUGGCGAAGGCGGCUUUUCUGGUCUGUAACUGACGCUGAGGCGCGAAAGCGUGGGGAGCAAACAGGGAUUAGAUACCCUGGUAGUCCACGCCGUAAACGAUGAGUGCCAAGUGUUAGGGGGUUUCCGCCCCCUUAGUGCUGCAGCUAACGCAUUAAGCACUCCGCCUGGGGAGUACGGCCGCAAGGCUG